rnacentral:rRNA from 1 species
GGCUAACUACGUGCCAGCAGCCGCGGUAAUACGUAGGGUGCAAGCGUUAUCCGGAAUUAUUGGGCGUAAAGGGCUCGUAGGCGGUUCGUCGCGUCCGGUGUGAAAGUCCAUCGCUUAACGGUGGAUCCGCGCCGGGUACGGGCGGGCUUGAGUGCGGUAGGGGAGACUGGAAUUCCCGGUGUAACGGUGGAAUGUGUAGAUAUCGGGAAGAACACCAAUGGCGAAGGCAGGUCUCUGGGCCGUUACUGACGCUGAGGAGCGAAAGCGUGGGGAGCGAACAGGAUUAGAUACCCUGGUAGUCCACGCCGUAAACGGUGGAUGCUGGAUGUGGGGCCCGUUCCACGGGUUCCGUGUCGGAGCUAACGCGUUAAGCAUCCCGCCUGGGGAGUACGGCCGCAAGGCUAAAACUCAAAGAAAUUGACGGGGGCCCGCACAAGCGGCGGAGCAUGCGGAUUAAUUCGAUGCAACGCGAAGAACCUUACCUGGGCUUGACAUGUUCCCGACGGUCGUAGAGAUACGGCUUCCCUUCGGGGCGGGUUCACAGGUGGUGCAUGGUCGUCGUCAGCUCGUGUCGUGAGAUGUUGGGUUAAGUCCCGCAACGAGCGCAACCCUCGCCCCGUGUUGCCAGCGGAUUAUGCCGGGAACUCACGGGGGACCGCCGGGGUUAACUCGGAGGAAGGUGGGGAUGACGUCAGAUCAUCAUGCCCCUUACGUCCAGGGCUUCACGCAUGCUACAAUGGCCGGUACAACGGGAUGCGACGCGGCGACGCGGAGCGGAUCCCUGAAAACCGGUCUCAGUUCGGAUCGCAGUCUGCAACUCGACUGCGUGAAGGCGGAGUCGCUAGUAAUCGCGAAUCAGCAACGUCGCGGUGAAUGCGUUCCCGGGCCUUGUACACACCGCCCGUCAAGUCAUGAAAGUGGGCAGCACCCGAAGCCGGUGGCCUAACCCCUUGUGGGAUGGAGCCGUCUAAGGUGAGGCUCGUGAUUGGGACUAAGUCGUAACAAGUUAGCCGUACCGGAAGGUGCGGCUG